CAGGACGAACGCUGGCGGCGCGCUUAACACAUGCAAGUCGAGCGAUGAAAUCUUGACAGAACCCUUCGGGGUGAAGAUAAGAUGGAUUAGCGGCGGACGGGUGAGUAACACGUGAGUAACCUGCCUUAGACAUUGGGAUAGCCUCGGGAAACCGGGAUUAAUACCAAAUGAAAUCAAAUAUGCACAUGCAUAAAUGAUCAAAGCUCCGGCGGUCUAAGAUGGACUCGCGUCCCAUUAGCUAGUUGGUGAGGUAACGGCCCACCAAGGCGACGAUGGGUAGCCGGCCUGAGAGGGUGAACGGCCACAUUGGAACUGAGAAACGGUCCAAACUCCUACGGGAGGCAGCAGUGGGGAAUAUUGCACAAUGGAGGGAACUCUGAUGCAGCGACGCCGCGUGAACGAAGAAGGCUUUCGAGUCGUAAAGUUCUUUUAUAUGGGAAGAUAAUGACGGUACCAUAAGAAAAAGCCCCGGCUAACUACGUGCCAGCAGCCGC
rnacentral:rRNA from 1 species